rnacentral:rRNA from 1 species
GAUGAACGCUGGCGGCGUGCCUAAUACAUGCAAGUCGAGCGAACAGACGAGGAGCUUGCUCCUCUGACGUUAGCGGCGGACGGGUGAGUAACACGUGGAUAACCUACCUAUAAGACUGGGAUAACUUCGGGAAACCGGAGCUAAUACCGGAUAAUAUAUUGAACCGCAUGGUUCAAUAGUGAAAGACGGUUUUGCUGUCACUUAUAGAUGGAUCCGCGCCGCAUUAGCUAGUUGGUAAGGUAACGGCUUACCAAGGCAACGAUGCGUAGCCGACCUGAGAGGGUGAUCGGCCACACUGGAACUGAGACACGGUCCAGACUCCUACGGGAGGCAGCAGUAGGGAAUCUUCCGCAAAGGGCGAAAGCCUGACGGAGCAACGCCGCGUGAGUGAUGAAGGUCUUCGGAUCGUAAAACUCUGUUAGUAGGGAAGAACAAAUGUGUAAGUAACUAUGCACGUCUUGACGGUACCUAAUCAGAAAGCCACGGCUAACUACGUG